AGUAAACACACACACAAACAUGAAGUUCAAAAUCUAUCCUCCUCUCAUCUUCCCUUCUACAAAACCUAAUAUCCACAUAAAUCCACUGCAAGACCACUCUUCCUCUCGAUCUCGUUACCUGCAGGCACAAAGUAAAAAAAAUGAUGAAUACUCACAUCUGCUCCCUCUUCCUCUCGACAGCCGGCGGUGGAUGAAGACACGCCGCCGCUCACGGCGGCGGCGGUGGUGGUGAUUCCAAAGCGAUCAGACAAACACCCCCCUGUACUGCUCGCUCUCUCUCCCCGUUUUCUUUUCCGGUCGGACCAGCUCCGAUCGUCGUUUCCGGCGACGAUGAUGAAGAACGGCGGCGGUCUGUGUAUCGGACCGGCGGUCGGUACAAUUAUCCGGCGGUCCUUGUUAUUAACCGACAGGUUUCAAACCCCGAGGAGGAUGAUGAAGAUGAAGAGGCUGCUGUUGGUGUUGAAGAUGGUGGUGGUUUUCCGACCACCCGACUGCGACAACGAAAGAAUCGCCGUGAGAGAACGGCGGUGAGACCCGACGGCUACCGGAGCCGCGUCGGAAGUUGUACGGCUGAAAUGGUGGUUGAGCGAUGGUGAUGUUUUUGUUCGAACUGACGAGUGUUCCGAUUCGGGGCGCGUAUCAGGUUCGGGUCAGAUUUGGUAAGUACUCGAGUCAGAUUCAAGUCGUUUGGAGUCUCGGGUUUGGUCAACAGAAAUUUCGGGUCGGUCAACAGCUUCGGUCAGAAGGCUCGAUAUGGUCAAUGGUUUGGUUUAGUCAACAUGGGUCGGCGGUUCGGUUCGCGGUCAGAUGGCUCGGUUCGGUUUGACUCGGUCAAACCGAGUCAACUCAGUGUUCGGGUCAGCGGUUCAGGUCAACAGUUUGGUUCGAGUCAGCUAGUUCUGGUCAAAUUAUGAAGCGGUUCGGGUCGACUCGGUCGAACCGAGUCAACUCGGUCAAGCCUGGUCAAUACAGCGAGUUGACUCAGUCAACUCAUCCGGUCAACUCAGUUGACCCGGUCAACAUCUUUCGGCAUUUCGACAUAAAGAAUUGGAAUAUCGUAUAACGUACGUUAGCGAGUGUCUUCUCGGAAACGACAUCACGAAGUCGUAAUUAGCUAGCAUUGCACAUGGAAAUCCAGGUUACUUUUCAGAAACUAUGGCACGGUUGGAAUAGGAGGACCAUGUGGAGUCGAGUACUUAGUGGCGUUCAAUUUUCUAAAAGACUUAGCUUAUUUGCUUCCGCUGUGCAAUGAAAAUACCAGUCCAGUCACGCCAGCUCUGAUAAUUUCGGGGUGUGACAUCACAAUCCUAAUACUACUAAAGCUCGAGAACACUACCAAGUAUUCACAUAAUCACAUAGGCACAUAAGCACAGAUUCACGUAAGCACAUAAGAAUGUAAGGCACAUAAGCACAGAAGGCACAUAGAAUACACAGAACCUGGCUACAUUUUGCACAUAUUCACAGAGGCGGUCAGAAUACAGAAACCUAUCAUUCAAAGUUCGCGAGCGUUUGAGAAUAGCGAUCGCGUAUAACGUAGCGAGUAGUAUAGUAUAAGUGUAUAAUCUAGCAUAUGGUCGUCCACAAUUAGCGAUUUGGCAGCGUUUUGAGAUAGAGAUGCAGUGCGAGUUGUGUGUGUCGAUUCAAGCAAUAGCGAAAAGCGAAUAAUUCACCAAAAAUCGAAAACACAUAAAUAAAUAAGUCAUAUAAAACACAUAAAAUCUACAUAAAAUCGACAAAUAUCAGAGUCGGCAGUAGCGAUCUCAGAAUCGAAACACAUAGAAAUCGAGAAAUAGAUUGUCUGCGGCUAGAUAGACUUCGACUAACCAAAGUGAUUCGACUAUUCACAAGGGCUUUUAGUACACACUUAAACUUUCGGGACUGUGCUCUCGCCUCGAGUUUGGGCGAAUGGCAUGCAUCCUUCCAGUUUCAGUGCGACUUCAAGUCGUUGGAGUCCGUCGAGACUUUGAUGAGAGUUUUGUAAAGCAAAAUAAGAUUGGAACGAGUCGUCAAGGUUCGGGUUUCACCCAUGACUUAACAACUUUGCUCCUGUUUUUGAUAAAGUAUGGAUUUCACUCCUGAUUCAACUUAAAUUCUCGUGUUUCAUAGAUAAAUAUAGAUCGAACAGGCGAUUAAAUCGAGAGUUUGCGGUUUUCACACCUAAUCUCGACCUAAUCACUUGUUCAUUUUCGAAAAUUAGGGUGCAGUGAUAGUGUAGCGUGUGCGAGAAUAGCGAGAGAUAGCACGUAAGCUCGUACAGCAACCCUAAGGGUACGCACAAGUCGGUCUGUUAGUACCUAACUAUAGACUAGGUAAUUUCUAAGACGUCGACCCGGACUAGGUCGAGUCUUGCCUAAUUCUCUAUAGUUAUGGCUCUGAUACCAAUCUGUCACACCCCAACCGAUGGCGGAAUCAUCGGGGCGCGGCACUGAGCGAAACAAAUUGUCCAGAAGUUUCCAUAACGACUAUAUUUACCAAAUAUUUAAAGCAACACGUCCCAUACCAUGUCGUAAAUGAUAAUACAGUUAUUACAGAAAAGAUCUAGCCAAAUUGUUCUGUUCCGACAACUCAGAUUUUUAUUACAGACAAUUGUUUAUUGUUGACCUAGGUCUUUCCUAGCCUCGAUUUCACAGCAAAGAAAGCAAAUAAGCAUCCUAAGCACCUGUCACAUACGUUAAAGUAAAAGUCAAUACACAUAGUGUAAAGGUGAGCAUACAAGUUUAAUAGAUAUAAUAGAGUUCGAAAUCGAUUACGCAUACCAGCACGUACACAAUGUGAAGUGAGGCAUGUUAGUUAUCGACAUGAACCUAUCGAUACCAAUGACUGCGGGUUGACUGCCCAAGGCAGUUCGCGAUACACACUCACCACUGUGAGCCAUGUAACUAAUUGUCCUUAACAACCCCUGAGCGAACAGGUGCUGAGUCCAAACUAUAGUACUAUCGUUGCUAAGGCAGGUAGACAGCAUUCUAUGUGUAAACAUAACAAACAAGCAUUCAUUAAGUCACGUAUACAUGCGGUAACGGUUAGCGUUAAAAGUAUUGCGUAGUGUGUUUGAUGUGAUUUAGAAUAGGUAACGUAUGUAACACCCAAAAGUGCAUAAAGCAAAAAGGGAUCGAAUAUACUCAGAGCGAUUGGUGGAUUGAAGGGAGCGCUAGAGAGUAAGGUUAGCCUGAUCAGAACGAUAGUAUAACGAAUAAGCGACGCGUAAAACGAUACAAGUGCUAGUGGGUCGGACAGCGGGUCGAUCGGAUGGUAGUCUGAUCGGACAUCUGAUCGUGCGAGUGGCAGUCCGCUCGGAUGGUCAUCCGAUCGGAUGACCUUUCGAGUGGAUUGUUUCCUCCUUUGAGAAGGAUGUGUUUGUGUAUGAUGGCUUGACUUUUGAAGUUUUUGUUGUAGCAUUUUGAAAACAUAGAAGUAUCACUACCUUUCAGGUCGAUACCCCGAUUGGUUGGACACUUCAGUGAGAACAAGUUCACAGCAGUUUGUCAUUCGAUCGGAUAGUAGUCUGGUUGGGUGGCAAUCCAUUGGUAUUGAUGAUGUGCGUUAGGUGUGAUAUAAUUUAGAUUUAUAUUUAAGCCCUUUUUA